GCCUCUGAAGCCGCAGCGGUGCCCUCACUUCAAAGGCUGCCCGCUCUUCCCUGCUUUCCGUUGCGACCCGUCCGGACCUAGGUUGGCAAGGCUGGCGGCGCGUGAGUCUGCAAGAUGCUCGCUUGGUUUCUGUGCUGACCUCGGGCAAGAGUGAAACCUGAUCCACGCCUUCCUUGUUGUUCCAGGUUGUUGGAAUUAGGGAUCCUGGGGAUGUGUGGUGGACUGCGGACCUGAGACUGAUUGACAGUAGGACUCCCAAGCGAUCAAUGCAAAGGCCUUAGGGGAUGCCCUGCUAGGCUUGUCCCAGGUGAUCUUCCCAGACUGCCCUGAUGCUACCUGACUCCUGGCUGCCUCUUGCGGGACCCAUCUUCACCUACCACCCGGUUUCUGGUGUUUCCACCAGCCUGCUUCUGUCCCUGGGGAUCUGGGGUUCAGAGAUUGUCCAGGAGAGGAGUGACAAGCGAAUUCUAAUGCCACACUAUUGUUUAAUGCUCCUGACUUGGAACAAGAAAGGCUGCUGAUACUUGUGUUCUUGCUUAGAACCCAACUUGUUUAGGUGUCACAUAAAUGCGGAGGAAAAGACACACAGUCACACACCAAAAAAUGGCUGCACAGUGAAUCUAUGAAAUUGCUACAUAGCACUUGGUUGAUAUUUAAUACCAAAAGUCUCCAUACCCUGUAAAAAGGACAGUCAUUUAAGUUCUUGACUGUAUAAAAUAAAUAUGGAAAUCAUAAUCAUUCAUGACUAUGUAUACAUCUUCCUGAUUAAUGUAUUAUUUCUAUUUACAAUCAUAAUUAUGUCUUGAACAUAUUCCCCUGCGAAUCCCCUGUUUAGCAGCAAUGCCUUUCAUGGGAUUACAAAGCAAAACAGUGACAGGCAGGGGGAGCAUUUAAUCCCAGCACUUUGAAGGCAAAAAAGGUAGGCAGAUCGCUGUGAGUUCGAGGCCAGACUGAUCUACAUAGAGAGUUCCAGAAUAGUCAAGGCUACACAGACAAACCCAGUCUCGAAACAACUACUACAAAAACAAAGAUACCAAAAUUGCUGAACCCCGAGAUGUGUUAUUCAAUGGUAGAACUUAUGAUUAUAUGUCUGGCCCUGGUUCAAUUAUUAGUACUUAAUAGUAGGAGUAGUAAUAGCAUUUUUUUCAUAGAUAUGACUUCAAAUGCCAGGGUCACUCUAAAACGUUACUAUGAUUCAUUUUAGGAUCAUAAUAAUGUUUUUCAAGAAUGUUUAAGCUUUGGGGAUCGAUCAUUAGAUUUGCUUUUUUUUUAACCUCAUAAGAUAUCAAAACCCAUGAGAACACUGAUAACCCUGCUGCUACAGCUACUAUUAGUGAAACUUAGCCAAGAGUUUGUUAAUAAAACUUUUUGAGAACAGCAAGAGUAAGCAAGGUACAGUUAUCUCCCUCAAGUUAUUUAGUCACUUUUAGGAGGUGAAGUAAACAAGAUUAGAAUUAUAGUGGGGGAGACAGGAACUGUAGCCAGGGUGUGGCUUUUUUUUCAUGGAAAAAUCAUAACAACAACAACAACAACAACAACAAAGCUUGCCCUAGCUGCCCAAAGUAAUGAAUGUCAUAGAGCCGUGCUUGCGAUGCAUGAGAGGCAAUAAGCUGCCAGUGCAUAGGGCUCUCCCUCCUCCCUGCCGCAGUCACCCUUGUUUUAUUACUCCUAAGCGAUCCCCCCCACUGACCCAAUUGUAACAGUUGGGAAAAUGCCAAGCACUUAGCAGCAACCAUAUGGAAGACCCUGCAAAAGUGCACAGCGGGAGUUAAAGACAGGGCUUGCUCAUUACAAUAAAGAUAAAAUAGAAA
rnacentral:lncRNA from 1 species